CCUACGGGAGGCAGCAGUGAGGAAUAUUGGUCAAUGGGCGGAAGCCUGAACCAGCCAAGUAGCGUGCAGGAUGACGGCCCUAUGGGUUGUAAACUGCUUUUAUACGGGAAUAACGCGCCUUACGUGUAGGGCUUUGCAUGUACCGUAUGAAUAAGGACCGGCUAAUUCCGUGCCAGCAGCCGCGGUAAUACGGAAGGUCCGGGCGUUAUCCGGAUUUAUUGGGUUUAAAGGGAGCGUAGGCCGCAUGUCAAGCGUGCUGUGAAAUGUCGGGGCUCAACCCGGGCCUUGCGGCGCGAACUGGCGUGCUUGAGUGCGCGGAAGGCAGGCGGAAUGCGUGGUGUAGCGGUGAAAUGCUUAGAUAUGACGAAGAACCCCGAUUGCGAAGGCAGCUUGCGGCAGCGGAACUGACGCUGAUGCUCGAAGGCGCGGGUAUCGAACAGGAUUAGAUACCCGUGUAGUC
rnacentral:rRNA from 1 species